UACAGAGGGGGCUAGCGUUGUUCGGAAUUACUGGGCGUAAAGGGCGCGUAGGUGGCCUGUUAAGUCGAACGUGAAAUCCCCGGGCUCAACCCGGGAACUGCGUCCGAUACUGGCAGGCUUGAAUCCGGGAGAGGGAUGUGGAAUUCCAGGUGUAGCGGUGAAAUGCGUAGAUAUCUGGAGGAAUACCGGUGGCGAAGGCGGCAUCCUGGACCAUUACUGACGCUGAGGCGCGAAAGCUAGGGGAGCAAACGGG
rnacentral:rRNA from 1 species